UAUGAACUUCCACUUGUAUGGACGGCGAAGGCUGAGGUCUAGUUCGAGUGUUUUUUCACCGUAUGUCGAUAUAGUGGUGUUGUUAGCGGCGUAGAGUUUGAAUGGCAGCGGUGUAGUGAAAUGAGUUUUUUUCCUAAGUAGAACGGAUAUGUUAGCUCCCGUGUCUACCAAGAAAGAUGUUCCUGUUUUCUUGUCUGUGACAAAUAGGCGGUAGGAGUAUUCUUGAGCGCCGGAUUCCGCCUCUGCCAGCGUUCUCUCUAUUUUCCGAUUGCUUUCCUUUAGACGCGAAGGAACACGGUGAUCUGCAGUUUCUUGCCUGGGCACCGUAACGUUGGUGGUAAUAGCACACUGACGAUGGUGAAUUGUCUCUCGAUCGAGAUUUAUAUCGAGGGUUGUAGGAGCGGCUUCGAGAACGGUUUCUU
rnacentral:misc_RNA from 1 species